CUUUGAUUUCCUCCAGGUGUAACCACUUCGUUGACGACAUCGUCCACGAUCACAGAGACAUGGUCCAUGAUCGGAGAGACAUUGUUGAGGAUGAGGGAGACAUCGUUCACGAUCAGACAUUGUCCAUGACUCGUGGUGACUCGGUCCCCGAUUAGUCGGCACUGCCGGCGUUCAGAGACAUUGUCGAUGAUCGCAGAGACUUUGUCCAUAAUCUCAGAGACAUUGUCCACGAUCACAGAGACUUAGUCCACGAUCUCAAAGCCAUCCACGAUCACAGAGACAUGGUCCAUGAUCGGAGAGGCAUCGUUGAGGAUGAGGGAGACAUCGUCCACGAUCAGAGACGUUGUCUGUGAUCGCAGAGACCUUGUCAAAGAUGAGAGAGACGUUGUCCAUGAUCAGAGACAUUGUCGCUGCUUCGCAGAGCUCUGUACAAGAAUCGGUAGUGACACUGUGGUUCCUCGAUUCGACGGCAUGACCGUGAUCAGCUGACAUUGUUAAUGAUCACAGAGAAACAGUCUAUCAUCAGAGACUUGGUCCACGAUCACAGACACAAUGUCAAUGAUUGCAGAGACUUUGUCCAUAAUCUCAGAGACGUUGUCCGCGAUCACAGAGACGUAGUCCACGAUCACAGAGAGUCUUUGUACAAUGAAGAAGUUCUUUGAGACCAGGACAGAGGCCUCCAGGUGUAACCACUUCGUUGACGACAUCGUCCACGAUCACAGAGACAUGGUCCAUGAUCGGAGAGACAUUGUUGAGGAUGAGGGAGACAUCGUUCACGAUCAGAGACAUUGUCCAUGACUCGUGGUGACUCGGUCCCCGAUUAGUCGGCACUGCCGGCGUUCAGAGACAUUGUCGAUGAUCGCAGAGACUUUGUCCAUAAUCUCAGAGACAUUGUCCACGAUCACAGAGACUUAGUCCACGAUCUCAAAGCCAUCCACGAUCACAGAGACAUGGUCCAUGAUCGGAGAGGCAUCGUUGAGGAUGAGGGAGACAUCGUCCACGAUCAGAGACGUUGUCUGUGAUCGCAGAGACCUUGUCAAAGAUGAGAGAGACGUUGUCCAUGAUCAGAGACAUUGUCGCUGCUUCGCAGAGCUCUGUACAAGAAUCGGUAGUGACACUGUGGUUCCUCGAUUCGACGGCAUGACCGUGAUCAGCUGACAUUGUUAAUGAUCACAGAGAAACAGUCUAUCAUCAGAGACUUGGUCCACGAUCACAGACACAAUGUCAAUGAUUGCAGAGACUUUGUCCAUAAUCUCAGAGACGUUGUCCGCGAUCACAGAGACGUAGUCCACGAUCACAGAGAGUCUUUGUACAAUGAAGAAGUUCUUUGAGACCAGGACAGAGGCCUCCAGGUGUAACCACUUCGUUGACGACAUCGUCCACGAUCACAGAGACAUGGUCCAUGAUCGGAGAGACAUUGUUGAGGAUGAGGGAGACAUCGUUCACGAUCAGAGACAUUGUCCAUGACUCGUGGUGACUCGGUCCCCGAUUAGUCGGCACUGCCGGCGUUCAGAGACAUUGUCGAUGAUCGCAGAGACUUUGUCCAUAAUCUCAGAGACAUUGUCCACGAUCACAGAGACUUAGUCCACGAUCUCAAAGCCAUCCACGAUCACAGAGACAUGGUCCAUGAUCGGAGAGGCAUCGUUGAGGAUGAGGGAGACAUCGUCCACGAUCAGAGACGUUGUCUGUGAUCGCAGAGACCUUGUCAAAGAUGAGAGAGACGUUGUCCAUGAUCAGAGACAUUGUCGCUGCUUCGCAGAGCUCUGUACAAGAAUCGGUAGUGACACUGUGGUUCCUCGAUUCGACGGCAUGACCGUGAUCAGCUGACAUUGUUAAUGAUCACAGAGAAACAGUCUAUCAUCAGAGACUUGGUCCACGAUCACAGACACAUUGUCAAUGAUUGCAGAGACUUUGUCCAUAAUCUCAGAGACGUUGUCCGCGAUCACAGAGACGUAGUCCACGAUCACAGAGAGUCUUUGUACAAUGAAGAAGUUCUUUGAGACCAGGACAGAGGCCUCCAGGUGUAACCACUUCGUUGACGACAUCGUCCACGAUCACAGAGACAUGGUCCAUGAUCGGAGAGACAUUGUUGAGGAUGAGGGAGACAUCGUUCACGAUCAGAGACAUUGUCCAUGACUCGUGGUGACUCGGUCCCCGAUUAGUCGGCACUGCCGGCGUUCAGAGACAUUGUCGAUGAUCGCAGAGACUUUGUCCAUAAUCUCAGAGACAUUGUCCACGAUCACAGAGACUUAGUCCACGAUCUCAAAGCCAUCCACGAUCACAGAGACAUGGUCCAUGAUCGGAGAGGCAUCGUUGAGGAUG